rnacentral:rRNA from 1 species
UGGCUCAGAUUGAACGCUGGCGGCAGGCCUAACACAUGCAAGUCGAACGGUAACAGGAAGCAGCUUGCUGCUUUGCUGACGAGUGGCGGACGGGUGAGUAAUGUCUGGGAAACUGCCUGAUGGAGGGGGAUAACUACUGGAAACGGUGGCUAAUACCGCAUAACGUCGCAAGACCAAAGAGGGGGACCUUCGGGCCUCUUGCCAUCAGAUGUGCCCAGAUGGGAUUAGCUUGUUGGUGAGGUAACGGCUCACCAAGGCGACGAUCCCUAGCUGGUCUGAGAGGAUGACCAGCCACACUGGAACUGAGACACGGUCCAGACUCCUACGGGAGGCAGCAGUGGGGAAUAUUGCACAAUGGGCGCAAGCCUGAUGCAGCCAUGCCGCGUGUAUGAAGAAGGCCUUCGGGUUGUAAAGUACUUUCAGCGGGGAGGAAGGUGUUGUGGUUAAUAACCGCAGCAAUUGACGUUACCCGCAGAAGAAGCACCGGCUAACUCCGUGCCAGCAGCCGCGGUAAUACGGAGGGUGCAAGCGUUAAUCGGAAUUACUGGGCGUAAAGCGCACGCAGGCGGUCUGUCAAGUCGGAUGUGAAAUCCCCGGGCUCAACCUGGGAACUGCAUUCGAAACUGGCAGGCUUGAGUCUUGUAGAGGGGGGUAGAAUUCCAGGUGUAGCGGUGAAAUGCGUAGAGAUCUGGAGGAAUACCGGUGGCGAAGGCGGCCCCCUGGACAAAGACUGACGCUCAGGUGCGAAAGCGUGGGGAGCAAACAGGAUUAGAUACCCUGGUAGUCCACGCCGUAAACGAUGUCUACUUGGAGGUUGUGCCCUUGAGGCGUGGCUUCCGGAGCUAACGCGUUAAGUAGACCGCCUGGGGAGUACGGCCGCAAGGUUAAAACUCAAAUGAAUUGACGGGGGCCCGCACAAGCGGUGGAGCAUGUGGUUUAAUUCGAUGCAACGCGAAGAACCUUACCUGGUCUUGACAUCCACAGAAGAAUCCAGAGAUGGAUUUGUGCCUUCGGGAACUGUGAGACAGGUGCUGCAUGGCUGUCGUCAGCUCGUGUUGUGAAAUGUUGGGUUAAGUCCCGCAACGAGCGCAAC